rnacentral:tRNA from 1 species
AAAGAGUUAGCUAAAUGGUUAAGCAAAACAGUAAAUUUUAUUUACUAUACAAACAAAGGUUCAAAUCCUUUACUCUUUA